rnacentral:lncRNA from 1 species
UUUGUUGACAUGGAAUUAUGUAGAAUUAUCAUUAUAUUUAUUUUUUGGAUCAAAUGAUUUGUUUAUAAAUUUUAAAUUGUGUAAUGAAUUUAGUAUGAUAUCGAUGGAAAGCAAAUUUUGAGGCUAAUCACUCCAGGAGCGUGGUGAUCUUGAUUGUAUAGAGAAAUGGUGAAUGAGUUUCAUCCAGGUUCUAUUUACUUAUUUCACUUUAUCUAUUUUUCCUUGCUCAAAUAUGAUUUAUUAGUGUUAAUUGCAAACUAUGUCCAUGAGUAUGUUUUUAAACUUUGAAAUACCGUGUACGUUUUCGAUACUAUUCAUGCUGGUUUACUUUCCAUACUAUUCAUGCUAGUUUAAUACUUGAAUUGCUUAGUGUUAUGGAA